rnacentral:rRNA from 1 species
GACGAACGCUGGCGGCGUGCUUAACACAUGCAAGUCGAACGGAAAGGCCCUGCUUUUGUGGGGUGCUCGAGUGGCGAACGGGUGAGUAACACGUGUGUAACCUGCCCUUGACUUUGGGAUAACUUCAGGAAACUGGGGCUAAUACCGGAUAGGCGCUCCUGCUGCAUGGUGGGGGUUGGAAAGUUUCGGCGGUUGGGGAUGGACUCGCGGCUUAUCAGCUUGUUGGUGGGGUAGUGGCUUACCAAGGCUUUGACGGGUAGCCGGCCUGAGAGGGUGACCGGCCACAUUGGGACUGAGAUACGGCCCAGACUCCUACGGGAGGCAGCAGUGGGGAAUAUUGCACAAUGGGCGGAAGCCGGAUGCAGCAACGCCGCGUGCGGGAUGACGGCCUUCGGUUUGUAAACCGCUUUCGCCUGUGACGAAGCGUGAGUGACGGUAAUGGGUAAAGAAGCACCGGCUAACUACGUG